CGCCAGACUCCUACGGGAGGCAGCAGUGGGGAAUAUUGGGCAAUGGACGCAAGUCUGACCCAGCAACGCCGCGUGAAGGAAGAAGGCUUUCGGGUUGUAAACUUCUUUUAAGGGGGAAGAGCAGAAGACGGUACCCCUUGAAUAAGCCACGGCUAACUCCGUGCCAGCAGCCGCGGUAAUACGGAGGAUGCGAGCGUUAUCCGGAUUUAUUGGGUUUAAAGGGUGCGUAGGCGGUCCGUUAAGUCAGCGGUAAAAUGGCGGGGCUCAACCCCGUCGAGCCGUUGAAACUGGCAGACUUGAGUUGGCGAGAAGUACGCGGAAUGCGCGGUGUAGCGGUGAAAUGCAUAGAUAUCGCGCAGAACUCCGAUUGCGAAGGCAGCGUACCGGCGCCAGACUGACGCUGAGGCACGAAAGCGUGGGGAUCGAACAGGAUUAGAUACCCUUGUA
rnacentral:rRNA from 1 species